AAGUCGUAACAAGGUUUCCGUAGGUGAACCUGCGGAAGGAUCAUUAAUGAAUUUAGAUUGAACCAUAGGCGAAAGCCAGUGGUUCUUCUUUCAUAUCCAUAACACCUGUGCACUGUUGGAUGCUUACAUCCACUUUUAAACUAAACAUUAUCGUAACAAAUGUAGUCUUAUUAUAACAUAAUAAAA
rnacentral:misc_RNA from 1 species